rnacentral:misc_RNA from 1 species
GAUGAAGAACGUAGCGAAAUGCGAUACUUGGUGUGAAUUGCAGAAUCCCGCGAAACAUCGAGUUUUUGAACGCAAGUUGCGCCCGAAGCCAUUCGGCCGAGGGCACGUCUGCCUGGGUGUCACGCAUCGUUGCCCCCCCAAACUCCGGUUCGGGCGGGGCGGAAGUUGGCCUCCCGUGUGUGCCUGCGCGCGCGGUUAGCCCAAAAGCGAGUCCUCGGCGACGAGCGCCACGACAAUCGGUGGUUUUUUUCCCCUCGUUCCUCGUCGUGCGUGCCCCGUCGCCCGAACGCGCUCUUGCAACCCUUACGCGUCGCCUCGGUGGCGCUCCCAACGCGACCCCAGGUCAGGCGGGACUACCCGCUGAGUUUAAGCAUAUCAAUAAGCGGAGGA